AUUGAACGCUGGCGGCAGGCCUAACACAUGCAAGUCGAGCGGAUGAAGGGAGCUUGCUCCUGGAUUCAGCGGCGGACGGGUGAGUAAUGCCUAGGAAUCUGCCUGGUAGUGGGGGAUAACGUCCGGAAACGGGCGCUAAUACCGCAUACGUCCUGAGGGAGAAAGUGGGGGAUCUUCGGACCUCACGCUAUCCGAUGAGCCUAGGCCGGAUUAGCUAGUUGGUGGGGUAAAGGCCUACCAAGGCGCCGAUCCGUAACUGGUCUGAGAGGAUGAUAAGUCACACUGGAACUGAGACACGGACCAGACUCCUACGGGAGGCAGCAGUGGGGAAUAUUGGACAAUGGGCGAAAGCCUGAUCCAACCAUGCCGCGUGUGAGAAGAAGGUCUUCGGAUUGUAAAGCACUUUUUGGUGGGAGGAAGGGCAGUAAGUUAAUACCUAGCUGUUUUGACGUUACCAACAGAAUAAGCACCGGCUAACUUCGUG
rnacentral:rRNA from 1 species